CUGCAGGAGUCGCUUGGGCUGAACGACCUCCUCGGCGGGCGGCAGCCUUCCCUCCGGACUCCCCCAUUCUCUCAGAGCUGCAGAGGACACGCACAGGCGGGGCGAAAAGCGUGGGAGCCUCUUACCUGUCUCGGCGUACCGUGCGUAGACUGCAGCGAACAGCAGGCAUCUCACCGCGAGCAUGAUGCUCACAUAGUCCCAGUGAUUUCCUCCGUGCAGCGCCGUUAAAUGAACCGACACCAGCCGUGAGCGGAGCUGCAGCAGGACUCUUGUUGUUGUUGUUGACAGUGAAGACAAACACAGCAGCUUGGUGCCUUCACACUGUACGCCCGCAUUUCUCACUCCCUGUCCGCCUGCGGCGAGUUACAGACACCUUGAAGGGGCUCCUCCUCUAGGCUGGGGUAACAUGGUGUUUGUGUGUCCGUGUCGCCCUGAGUUGCUCGGCUUCACACACCUGUCUGCCGGCUUCGUUACUGAGUGAGGCUGCGCGAGGAAACAAGCAGCACGUGGGCGUGACAGGACCACCCACACUCUUUAAUGGAUCCAACACUCGGGCCCGGGAGCCCGAGGGGAAACACCUGAUAUCAUCCUCCAGACUCAGGCAUUAUUUUAAGGACUUCAAAUGCAUGCCAUCCAUCUAAUGCAUUUCAAACAGUGGUUUAUUAUUUAUAAUGCAGAUAAGCUAAGUGUAUUUUCUUUGCCCUGUCGAUUAGAAUAAAUACAUUUUCUUAUAAUUAAUAUUGAAUUAAAGCUAUUAUCCCGAAAGAAUUAUGUAAAUGAAUAUAUUUGAAUUAUAUAUACGCAAUAAUAUGAUUCACUUAUCGGUUGGGUGAAAACUGGGAUGAGGAGAACAUAUCAAAUAUUGUUCAUGUCAGCUGGUCUGAUGAGUCACACAGGACACAUCGACCUGCUGCUGCCCUUGCUUCAUCCUUCACUUCUUAUUUAAGUUUUACAUACAGAGUCAGCAUUUAUAAAGUCUUCACCACACUUGGAAAAAACCCGUUUUUUAAAGCACACAGAGGGGGGAUAUUUAUGAAUAAAAACAUUUAUUCAAAAACACUGUACAAGGUUUCAAUUCACAUUCCCAGAGACAACUGACAGACUUCCAUAUGCAAAAAUCAUGUGGCAUUCCCUUUGUCACAUUGUGACCUUUUUUUCAUGUUUAGAAGCAGCAGUGAGCUCUGGACUUCAUAGACCAUUUCAUCAUAUCAAAGAUGUCCAAAAAUGGUAUUUAUUGGUAGAUGACCUCAUACUAUAUAUCUAAUAAACCUAACUUGCUUCUCCUUGACAAAGUCAGUCCUCUGGCCCACCUUCAAAACGAAGAAAGAGCUUUUUGACAUUAAUCAGGUGGUUUGGCUCACAGUUCGUCAGUCCUCCACCCUGUGAACGCCUCGUCUGUUUGACCAUCAACACCAGCAUAUGUGGG